AUUGAACGCUGGCGGAAUGCUUUACACAUGCAAGUCGAGCGGCAGCGCGGUCUUCGGACUGGCGGCGAGCGGCGAACGGGUGAGUAAUACAUCGGAACAUGCCCAGUCGUGGGGGAUAACACUUCGAAAGAAGUGCUAAUACCGCAUACGUCCUGAGGGAGAAAGCGGGGGAUCGCAAGACCUCGCGCGAUUGGAGUGGCCGAUGUCAGAUUAGCUAGUUGGUGGGGUGACGGCCUACCAAGGCAACGAUCUGUAGCUGGUCUGAGAGGAUGAUCAGCCACACUGGGACUGAGACACGGCCCAGACUCCUACGGGAGGCAGCAGUGGGGAAUUUUGGACAAUGGGGGCAACCCUGAUCCAGCCAUUCCGCGUGAGUGAAGAAGGCCUUCGGGUUGUAAAGCUCUUUCGGCAGGAACGAAACGGCGAGCUCUAACAUAGCUCGCUAAUGACGGUACCUGAAGAAGAAGCACCGGCUAACUACGUGCCAGCCGCCGCAGUAAAAC
rnacentral:rRNA from 1 species